rnacentral:lncRNA from 1 species
UAUGGGACAGCAGAGGUGAGGAACCGCACCUCACCUCCGUCAAGGACCGCAGUGGUUCCGUCGUGGUCGUGGUUCCAAUGUGGAAUUCCAUCGUGGUCUGUGAUUCCGAUGACCGUAGGUUCGGCGGAACGCACUAGAAAUGCUUUAUGUAUAUACCCGCGGACCGUGAUCCACAGUGUAUAAAUUCCGUUUUGUGUGGCAGUAGUAGAAUUUGCAAAUACUAUUAUAAAAGUAAGAGUGGAUAUUUUCUUUCAUCCAAUGAAUAUGGAUGUCAUCAGUAUUUUAAAGCUCUUUUUUUUACAUGGAAUAAAUAAUGAAUGGUGUUGGGGAG